GAAUUAAGAAAAAGAAGAGAAGUACAGGAGAUAUCAUUAAAUUAUAUAGUUCUCUCUUCGACUGUAGCCUUAUAACAGGGACAUUAAUAGAAUUAACAGGUGGAAUCUAAUUGUCUCCCUUGGAAUCUGGGAUGGCUGUCCUACUUAUUUGACCAACAGAAUUUGUCAGAAGGGACUUUCUGUAACUUCUGAAGCUGUCUCAUAAGAAGCCUUGCAGAUUCUGCUCAUGUCUCUUUCCUCUCUGGGAAACAAGUCGCGACUCAGGGAUAAGCCUGAGACACAUGGAGAGAACAUCCUGAUCAAUCUGGUCUUUGCUGCUACCCUGGUCAACAGCCUGAGCUGGAUACCUGGCUGACAAGUACCACCUUUUUCCUACACAGAUGACAACCCAGCCCAUGAGCACCAGGAAAAUUAAACAAAAAGCCGAAAGAAAAAAGAAAAGAAGAAGUCUGGGAGUGAAGUUAUAUGCUUAAAGGCAUGCAUCUAGCAAAUGGCAAAAAAAAUGGAUGAAGACACAAGACUGAUUGUCACUAAAAACCAUGUGGUAUGUUUGAGCAAGUUUUGCAGCCACAUCAGUUUCUGAUUAGACUUACAAUUUAAGUGGGGAAGUGACUUUGGAAGAGACAUGCGUGCUGUCAGCAGAUGGGAGAGAGGAUGGAGAAAGAUGGAGGGAGGCUGCUGUAACACCUGUUCUGGUUGGGAUUCUGAAUGAAUAUGAAAGAUGCCACUGCUACUCCUUCACUUGCUCAUUCUGCAAAAGUUUGUAGAUCUUCUGCAAGGAGAACGGCAUUGUUAACUACCUACAGGAAGUGGUGUUGAUUUCCAAGAAAGAUCUUGUUCUUCAAACUCUGUUACAGCGUCUUCUCUGGAGAAGUCAACAGUGAGAUGGGCUAAAUGAAGAAGGAGCAGCUUAUUGUCUUUGUUGGUUUUCUUUAUUUUCCUUCGAAGCAUCUGGGGGAAGAGGAAGACAAUGGAUGAGAUGGCGUAUGUUCUUUCCGCCCUGUGAAUGAAUCAGAUUUGAACUCCUAAGCAAAAUAGAAAAUGCAGAAAUGGUGCUCAGGCAAAACCUGAGAGACACCGGGCUCAAGCGACUCUCCUCUGAAGUCCAUCUGAUAAAGUCUGAAUUAUGGAUAAGUCCUUUCCCCCUCAAUAGUCUACUGCUUACUAAAGUGUAGCUCAAUGACUCUGUGGGCUUGGGUAAUCAGCAGGUAAGCAUAGCUAUGCCCAAUGAAGCAGGGGCUGUGAGAAGAAGCCUUGAAGAGUACCUAAAGUAGAAAAUAAGUGAACUUUCUCCUAAGCCCAUAGGAAACAUCACUAUCCUGCUGAAGGCAGGGCAGAGGGAACACAGCAGAGUAGGCUCAGAAUAACUGGGAUUUGGGCACUGAUAUUAAUGUCACCAUAUCUACACUUAUUGAUUGUUGAGAUUAUACAUUUGGCUUGAAACCACAGGAACUAAUAUACUCUAAAUAUAAGCUGAGAAAAAUUAAAAAUAACCACAACUACAACAG
rnacentral:lncRNA from 1 species